AAGGCUUUCUGUCUGUCUUCCUGUCGUAGAGUACUUCAAAAAAAAUGUCUUCCCUCGUCACAAUACUUCAAUUGUAAUCUAUAAGUUCAUUAUUUUCGCAUACUUUCGGAUAAUUGGCAAAAAAAGAAAAUCUGCAAUUUAUGAAAACAAUACACCAAAAAUAAUUUAAUCUAUAAGUUGAUGAUUAGGAAAGUUGGUUGAGAUAAAAAUUCAAUUAUAAUAUAGAAGCUUGUACUUUAACCUAGAAAAAAAUAAUUUUUUUAACCAAACGAUAAUUUUAACGUGGUUGAAUUACCAGUGUUUCUACAAAUGUAAAAAAAGCGUAUUUAAACGAUACAUUAUAUCAAAUAAUUGCUAAUAUUUAAUAAGAAGAAAAGAAUAAAACACUUUUUUGAAUUAUAUUUUGCCCUGUAGGUAAAUAAAUACGAAAAUAUUUCAAUACAAAUGUAAUAAAAUGAAAUUCAUUUUAAAAUAGACAAUCUUGUUUAUACAGAUUGUCCCAUAAGAUCGUUCUCGAAAUUUUCACAUAUCUGUUUGACAUUUCCAACGUCAACUGUCAGUUAUAGGUCGAAUUUAUAAUUUUGAGUCAUUACUUGAAUAUAUUCAAUAUUUAUGAUGUUUCUUAACACUUUUUAUUAACCUAUAAAAGUUUAGACUUCCUAUAAUAAUAUUUUAAGACUGAAAAUCUAAUAUACCUGAAUGUUAAAUAAACUAGGUAGUAUAUUUUCUUCUAAUAUAAUUAUAACGUAUUUAUUCUUUUCUUUUUACCUCAAAAUAAUUGAAAAUUGAUAAAUCAAGUAACAAAUACCCCAAAGAAACAAAUAAAUGCUUGUUUAUAGUUGUUUUGUUCUAAAAUUUCGUUCAUCUUCACCGUAAAAAAUUGCUUAUCUGAUAUUAUUUAUAAAUAAAAGUUCUAAUAAAUAAUUUGUUAAUAUAUGUCUAGCAGGUAUAUUUUUUCCAUUUUGAGAACUUGAUUAUCAAUUAUCAGAAAUGUAUCCAAUAUUAAUAAAAAUGAAUUUAUUUCGAAUAAAUGUGACAACAGCGUAAUGAUAAAUUAAUCAAAAUAAUUAUUGGCAUUAUUGAAUACAAUAAACAAUUACUUACUAUAGGUUAUGUUACUUGGUUCAAAUUUCACAAGUUCUCAAAAUUUAUAAUAAGAGACACAGUAUAUACACUAUUUUCACGAAAAAUUGAUUUUUUUAAUAAAGUUUUAUCACAAAUCACCGCCAUAAUGUAGCAAACAGACACUAGAAACUCGAAUCUACUACUAAAAACACUUUAACCUAGAAAAAUAUUGUUGACAUUUGCAAUGUUUAUUGUUCUUUAAGGUGCAUUUUCAUGUUGACGCUCGACGCUGGCUUAGUGCGUCAAAUUAGGUCACGUGAUAUAAUUUCGACUGAAGCGUCAUCUAAAUCAAUUCAACGUCAAAUAUAAGAGCGUCAAGCUUCAUAACGCUGAAAAAAAUACUAAAAUACACCACUUCUCAACAGUCUGUUAACCUAUAAACAUAAAAUGUGUGUAAUUUAUUCAAUCAUUUCUAAAUGAGUGAAUUAUUCUGAUCGAUGUACUUUACGUAACACUAGUAAACAGCUGAUGAUAUAAAUUUAUAAAGUUUUUUGCUAUAAUGUCCGAUUUAAAGAUGUAAACAAUGUUUAGUUUUGACGCAGCACUAAUUUAAGAUGACGUUUCAGUUAAAAUUGUACCACGUGAUAUCAUUUGACGCUCUAAACCAGUCGAGUGUCAAAAUGAUAUUGUAACUUUACUAAAUAAUAUUGUUUAAAUAAAAUUCCUACUGUACAUAAUUACUAUUAACGUCACAGUUUACUAGUAAGACUAAUUGCAAGACUUUUAUACUUCUAAACAAAAAUGUAACUUCUCAAAAUGUAUCUAGUGAAUUUUUUUGGCGUACUUUCAAGUUAUAUAUUUCUAUUCUUUAAAUAUAGUCAAAACAAACUAUAUAAACUCGGAAAAAGUAGAUUCUAGUUUUGAAAAGUUUACUAUCAUUAACAAUUUUCAAUUCCUGGUGCCUUAUUUCUACCGGGAUCAUCUGACUGGCAAGCGUAGUUAAAAUGUAAAACUUACUUUAAUAUACGUCACAGAUUCUAGAUUAAUACAUUAUAUUCACGUUCACUAUAACACCCCGUAUAUUAAAAUUCACAACGAAUAAUUAAUAAUAUACAAUUGAAUCAACAACUAAAUAGACACUAUAACUGAAUAAUGUUUAGUUUUGGUUGUUUCCCGGUAAAAUGUCAUUUAUCGUUAUGAAAUUCGUAUAAUACUAACAGUGUUGCCGAUGUCAACACGUUUUAUCAGUAGGUGCUUCACCUUGAAUUGAAAAUUGUUUUAUUUCGUAUAACGUUUGUAGAUGCUGAAUGUAUAUAAUUUAGACGCUAAGCUGUAUUCCGGCAACGUCAGAACUUGUUAUCCAACUUUUUGAUUAUUUUUCACAUCUAUAGUUAUUGCUUUUUUUCAAUAUUUUUUCUAAUCGUAUCCUUGUAUAUCAGAUAUGAAUUUGGAUUGUUUUAAAUAAGGGUAACAUGUUCAAAUAGACAAAAAAAAAUCAACUUCCAAGCUAUAAUGUUAGUUAAAAUAUUGGUUCGUAGGAAAGGAUGUUUAUAAAUGUAAAUAUGAACGCAUUAAUUCAAUAUUGAAAAUACCCCUCGACCCCAUACAAUUUAUUAGUUGUUGACGAUUUUAGAAAUAUAAUAAUUUUUGUUGUAAAACUUUUUUAAUUUGAUAAAAUUGUGAAAUUUCAAUUAAUAAAACAUGUGGCACUACUGUA